UAUGUUUUGGUGUAGAGGCACACAAAGUUUUGAUCUUUGCGGGAUUAGUGCGAUUCUAAUAAAUAUAA
rnacentral:tRNA from 1 species